GGUUAAGCGACUAAGCGUACACGGUGGAUGCCCUGGCAGUCAGAGGCGAUGAAGGACGUGCUAAUCUGCGAAAAGCGUCGGUAAGGUGAUAUGAACCGUUAUAACCGGCGAUGUCCGAAUGGGGAAACCCAGUGCAAUUCGUUGCACUAUCGUUAACUGAAUACAUAGGUUAACGAGGCGAACCGGGGGAACUGAAACAUCUAAGUACCCCGAGGAAAAGAAAUCAACCGAGAUUCCCCAGUAGCGGCGAGCGAACGGGGAGCAGCCCAGAGUCUGAAUCAGCUUGUGUGUUAGUGGAACGGUCUGGAAAGUCCGACGGUACAGGGUGAUAGUCCCGUACACCAAAAUGCACAGGUUGUGAACUCGAAGAGUAGGGCGGGACACGUGGUAUCCUGUCUGAAUAUGGGGGACCAUCCUCCAAGGCUAAAUACUCCUGACUGACCGAUAGUGAACCAGUACCGUGAGGGAAAGGCGAAAAGAACCCCGGCGAGGGGAGUGAAAAAGAACCUGAAACCGUGUACGUACAAGCAGUGGGAGCACCUUCGGGUGUGACUGCGUACCUUUUGUAUAAUGGGUCAGCGACUUAUAUUCUGUAGCAAGGUUAACCGUAUAGGGGAGCCGCAGGGAAACCGAGUCUUAACUGGGCGUUAAGUUGCAGGGUAUAGACCCGAAACCCGGUGAUUCAGCCAUGGGCAGGUUGAAGGUUGGGUAACACUAACUGGAGGACCGAACCGACUAAUGUUGAAAAAUUAGCGGAUGACUUGUGGCUGGGGUGAAAGGCCAAUCAAACCGGGAGAUAGCUGGUUCUCCCCGAAAGCUAUUUAGGUAGCGCCUCGUGAACUCAUCUUCGGGGGUAGAGCACUGUUUCGGCUAGGGGGUCAUCCCGACUUACCAACCCGAUGCAAACUACGAAUACCGAAGAAUGUUAUCACGGGAGACACACGGCGGGUGCUAACGUCCGUCGUGAAGAGGGAAACAACCCAGACCGCCAGCUAAGGUCCCAAAGUCAUGGUUAAGUGGGAAACGAUGUGGGAAGGCACAGACAGCCAGGAUGUUGGCUUAGAAGCAGCCAUCAUUUAAAGAAAGCGUAAUAGCUCACUGGUCGAGUCGGCCUGCGCGGAAGAUGUAACGGGGCUAAACCAUGCACCGAAGCUGCGGCAGCGACACUAUGUGUUGUUGGGUAGGGGAGCGUUCUGUAAGCCUGCGAAGGUGACCUGUGAGGGUUGCUGGAGGUAUCAGAAGUGCGAAUGCUGACAUAAGUAACGAUAAAGCGGGUGAAAAGCCCGCUCGCCGGAAGACCAAGGGUUCCUGUCCAACGUUAAUCGGGGCAGGGUGAGUCGACCCCUAAGGCGAGGCCGAAAGGCGUAGUCGAUGGGAAACAGGUUAAUAUUCCUGUACUUGGUGUUACUGCGAAGGGGGGACGGAGAAGGCUAUGUUAGCCGGGCGACGGUUGUCCCGGUUUAAGCAUGUAGGCUGGUUAUCCAGGCAAAUCCGGAUAAUCAAGGCUGAGGUGUGAUGACGAGGCACUACGGUGCUGAAGUAACAAAUGCCCUGCUUCCGUGAAAGCCUCUAAGCAUCAGGUAACAUCAAAUCGUACCCCAAACCGACACAGGUGGUCAGGUAGAGAAUACCAAGGCGCUUGAGAGAACUCGGGUGAAGGAACUAGGCAAAAUGGUGCCGUAACUUCGGGAGAAGGCACGCUGGUGUGUAGGUGAAGUCCCUGCGGAUGGAGCUGAGACCAGUCGAAGAUACCAGCUGGCUGCAACUGUUUAUUAAAAACACAGCACUGUGCAAACACGAAAGUGGACGUAUACGGUGUGACGCCUGCCCGGUGCCGGAAGGUUAAUUGAUGGGGUUAUCCGUAAGGAGAAGCUCUUGAUCGAAGCCCCGGUAAACGGCGGCCGUAACUAUAACGGUCCUAAGGUAGCGAAAUUCCUUGUCGGGUAAGUUCCGACCUGCACGAAUGGCGUAAUGAUGGCGGGCUGUCUCCACCCGAGACUCAGUGAAAUUGAACUCGCUGUGAAGAUGCAGUGUACCCGCGGCAAGACGGAAAGACCCCGUGAACCUUUACUAUAGCUUGACACUGAACAUUGAGCCUUGAUGUGUAGGAUAGGUGGGAGGCUUUGAAGCGUGGACGCCAGUCUGCGUGGAGCCAACCUUGAAAUACCACCCUUUAAUGUUUGAUGUUCUAACGUUGGCCCCUGACCGGGGUUGCGGACAGUGUCUGGUGGGUAGUUUGACUGGGGCGGUCUCCUCCCAAAGCGUAACGGAGGAGCACGAAGGUUAGCUAAUCCGGUCGGACAUCAGGAGGUUAGUGCAAUGGCAUAAGCUAGCUUGACUGCGAGCGUGACGGCGCGAGCAGGUGCGAAAGCAGGUCAUAGUGAUCCGGUGGUUCUGAAUGGAAGGGCCAUCGCUCAACGGAUAAAAGGUACUCCGGGGAUAACAGGCUGAUACCGCCCAAGAGUUCAUAUCGACGGCGGUGUUUGGCACCUCGAUGUCGGCUCAUCACAUCCGGGGCUGAAGUAGGUCCCAAGGGUAUGGCUGUUCGCCAUUUAAAGUGGUACGCGAGCUGGGUUUAGAACGUCGUGAGACAGUUCGGUCCCCUAUCUGCCGUGGGCGCUGGAGAAUUGAGGGGGCUGCUCCUAGUACGAGAGGACCGGAGUGGACGCAUCACUGGUGUUCGGGUUGUCAUGCCAAUGGCACUGCCCGGUAGCUAAAUGCGGAAGAGAUAAGUGCUGAAAGCAUCUAAGCACGAAACUUGCCCCGAGAUGAGUUCUCCUGAGACUUUAAGUCUCCUGAAGGAACGUUAAAGACGAUGACGUUGAUAGGCCGGGUGUGUAAGCGCAGCGAUGCGUUGAGCUAACCGGUACUAAUGAACCGUGAGGCUUAACCUU
rnacentral:rRNA from 1 species